AAUUUGCUGAGGACUUAUAAAAUGAAUAUGCGGAUCAAUUCCACCUGCAGUUAAAAUUUUACCUUCACCUGCUAUUAUUUCUGUGGAAGGUCCUAUAAUAAUAUCUACAUUAUUUUGUGUAUCCGGGUUUCCUGCUUUUCCAAUAUUACAGAUUAACCCAUCUUUAAUACCCACAUCAGCUUUAAUUAUUCCCCAAUAAUCAACAAUGAUUGCAUUGGUAAUAACAGUAUCAACAGCUCCGUCUUUCCUUGUAACUUGAGAUUGGCCCAUUCCAUCAC
rnacentral:sRNA from 1 species